AUUGAACGCUGGCGGCAUGCCUUACACAUGCAAGUCGAACGGCAGCGGACCUUCGGGUGCCGGCGAGUGGCGAACGGGUGAGUAAUAUAUCGGAACGUACCUUUCAGUGGGGGAUAACGUAGCGAAAGUUACGCUAAUACCGCAUAUUCUGUGAGCAGGAAAGCAGGGGAUCGCAAGACCUUGCGCUGAUUGAGCGGCCGAUAUCAGAUUAGCUAGUUGGUGAGGUAAAGGCUCACCAAGGCGACGAUCCUGUAGCGGGUCUGAGAGGAUGAUCCGCCACACUAGGAACUGAGACACGGUCCAGACUCCGUACGGGAGGCAG
rnacentral:rRNA from 1 species